CACGGCACAAUGAUGAUCCACAAUCAUGCAUAGUUCAACUGAAUUCCUUUGAAGAACAACAUACAGCAACGUCUUUCGCUCCUAUCUGACUGCAUCU
rfam:Rachicladosporium antarcticum strain CCFEE 5527 scaffold_55, whole genome shotgun sequence.